AAUAUUGGACAAUGGGCGUAACCCUGAUCCAGCCUUGCCGCGUGUGUGAAUCAGGUCUUCGGAUUGUAAAGCACUUUUAGUUGGGAGGAAUGGCCUUAGGUUCAUAUCCUGAAGUUUUGCCUUUACCAACAGAACAUGCACCGGCUAACUCUCUGCCUGCAGCCCCGGUAAUACAGAGGGUGCAAGCGUUAAUCGGAAUUACUGGGCGUAAAGCGCGCGUAGGUGGUUCAGUAAGAUGGGUGUGAAAUCCCCGGGCUUAACCUGGGAACUGCUUUCAUAACUGCUGAGCUAGAGUACGGUAGAGGGUAGUGGAAUUUCCUGUGUAGCGGUGAAAUGCGUAGAUAUAGGAAGGAACACCAGUGGCGAAGGCGACUACCUGGACUGAUACUGACACUGAGGUGCGAAAGCGUGGGGAGCAAAC
rnacentral:rRNA from 1 species